rnacentral:rRNA from 1 species
AGAGUUUGAUCCUGGCUCAGAAUCAACGCUGGCGGCGUGCCUAACACAUGCAAGUCGCACGAGAAAGGGGCUUCGGCCCUGAGUAAAGUGGCGCACGGGUGAGUAACACGUGACUAAUCUACCCUCGAGUGGGGAAUAACCUAGAGAAAUCUGGGCUAAUACCGCAUAACACUUACGAGUCAAAGCAGCAAUGCGCUUGGGGAGGAGGUCGCGGCCGAUUAGCUAGUUGGCGGGGUAAUGGCCCACCAAGGCGAUGAUCGGUAUCCGGCCUGAGAGGGCGCACGGACACACUGGAACUGAAACACGGUCCAGACUCCUACGGGAGGCAGCAGUGGGGAAUUUUGCGCAAUGGGGGAAACCCUGACGCAGCAACGCCGCGUGGAGGAUGAAGUAUCUUGGUACGUAAACUCCUUUCGAUUGGGAAGAUAAUGACGGUACCAAUAGAAGAAGCCCCGGCUAACUUCGUGCCAGCAGCCGCGGUAAUACGAGGGGGGCAAGCGUUGUUCGGAUUUAUUGGGCGUAAAGGGUGCGUAGGCGGUUUGGCAAGUCUUGUGUGAAAUCUUCGGGCUCAACCCGAAGUCUGCACAAGAAACUGCCGGGCUUGAGUAUGGGAGAGGUGAGUGGAAUUUCCGGUGUAGCGGUGAAAUGCGUAGAUAUCGGAAGGAACACCUGUGGCGAAAGCGGCUCACUGGACCAUAACUGACGCUGAGGCACGAAAGCUAGGGGAGCAAACAGGAUUAGAUACCCCGGUAGUCC